UAACUUCAUGAAGGGUAUUUAUCAGAAAUCCUGUAUCAAACAUCAUAAUGGUAAAAAUAUUAGAAACCAGAACCGACUAACAGAUAUUGUUCACUAUUGUCUCAAUUAGUCCACAUCGACAGACCUGGUCAGUACAGUGAGACCAAGAGAAGAAAUGAGGGAAAGAAGGGACCAACACUGCCAUCAUUUGCAGGUGGAGCUAUGUAGAAGACCCCCUUCCCAGCCUGGGGCCCUCGCAGCACCUCCCCCCAUGCAGGUACAGUAUCAGAAUCUCCAGGAGGGGGAGUGAGAGGAGAGAUGCCAAGUUUCAGCCACAGGAUUUUAAAAGCUCCCCUUGGAGCUGCAGGACCGGAAGGCCGGAAAAAGGAUUGGCAGGAAGAAGAAUUUCUUCUCUUUGCUCCCUGGAAUUCUACCUGUAUCUUGAAAUUCCUGCCAAAGCCCCCAGCCUAAGGCAUUGCACGAUUUAAACAUCAAUUGAAUUUCAACCAGAAACGCUGUGAAUUUUAUAAAUGGAAGCCACGCCUCAGCUCUUCUCCUGGUUCCCUAGAGAGACGGCCUGGAGGUGGGGUAGGGCUGAGCAGAAUCCAGGCGAGACCGAGGGCGGGUCCCCUGUGGCCAGUGCUCACACAGCCACAUGGCCAGUUACCAGUGGGACUGCAGGUGGUGAUGGUCACCACCGGCGGGUCUCGGUUCCCUCGCUGCUGAAACAAGGGGGCCAGACCUGUUGACCUUUGAUCUCCCUCCAGCUUAGAAGAUCAGUGAUUCUACGGGUGGACAUUAAGCAGUGUGACUGCAGUAGACUUACAUUUAAUACAGUGUGAGUGUGAGUGUGUGUGUGUGUGUGUGUGUGUGUGUGUGUGUGUGUGUGUGUAGGGGGCGUUUAAAGUUCAACUGAUUUUUACAGCCUUGGGGUGGGGAAGGUUUUAAAAAAUAUGACCCCAAACCCAGAAACAUGAAAGAGAAGAUUCAAAAAUUCAACUACAUAAAAAUCCCCUGUAUGGAAAAAAGAACCUAUAAAAUAGUCAAGACGAAAGAUAAACUGAAAAGCAUAUGCCAAAUCAAAGGGCUAACUUCUUUAGUAGAGUGCCUCCAAAUCAAAAAGAAAAAAACCAACACCCAGAGAAACAGGCAAAAUCUAUAGACACUAAUAGCCAGUAACAUCUGGAAUAUGCCCAGUCUUAUAAGAGGAUGCAAAGUUAAGCAAUGGGGUGGUCUGUCUUUCCCCUGUAAUACUAUGAACAAGGUGCCCUGGCACAUUGCUGGUGGGGUGCACACUGAUUAAGCCUCUCUGGAUGGCAGUUGGACAAUCUCUGUCAAAUUUAAAAUUCCCAUAAGUUUUGACUUGGGAAUUAUACUCCCAGGAACUUAUACAACAUAUAUUUUGGUAAGUGGGAAAAGGGUGUGUAUUCAGUUUAAUUACCAUGGCAUGGUCAGAGCAAAGGAUUGGAAACCAGCUGCUAAUAGUGGAUCAAUGAAAUAGAUUGCUGUAUGUCCACAAUGGAAUAAAACUUGCUCAAGGAAUAAGGCAGCUCUGUAUUUACUGAUGUGUAUCUCUAACAUACAUAGGUAAGUGCAGAAAAGCAAGGUGCAGAAUGGCCCAUAUGGCCUGCCAACUUUUGCACUGUUUAUAUGGCUGUCUCUGGAGGAUGCCCAUGGAACUUGUCACUGUGCUUGUCUCCAGAGAGGAGACCGGGUAUCUGGGGCAAUGGAAAUCAGAGGGGAAUGCAUUGUAUACUUUAAAAUUUUGUC